GUCCAGAUGAUGGGUCCCAAAUAGGACGAAAUGCGCAUCCUGGAC
rnacentral:hammerhead_ribozyme from 1 species